rnacentral:lncRNA from 1 species
CAUGAUCCAUCAAAGUUAGUUGCGGAGACACCAUGCAAGCUGCUGAGAUAUUUGGUUUCAGAUGGAAGUCAUAUUGAUGCUGACACUCCUUAUGCAGAAGUUGAGGUCAUGAAAAUGUGUAUGCCUCUUCUUUCACCUGCUUCUGGAGUUCUUCAAUUUAAGAUGGCUGAAGGUCAAGCAAUGCAGGUAAAUCAUUUUCCUUAUUUAAAAGUAUGAAUUUUCUAUAUCCAAUGGAAAUUAAGAAUUCAUUCCUGUGUAGGCUGGUGAGCUCAUAGCAAGGCUUGACCUAGAUGAUCCUUCAGCUGUAAGAAAAGCUGAACCUUUCUAUGGGAGUUUCCCAAUCCUGGGACCUCCAACAGCAAUUUCUGGUAAAGUUCAUCAGAGAUGUGCUGCAAGUUUAAAUGCAGCCCGCAUGAUUCUUGCUGGUUAUGAGCACAACAUAGAAGAAGUAAGCAUUUUCUUGCCUAUGUUAAUCUUAAUUGGAGAAUUUAAAGAUACUACAGUAAUUCUGUUGUGUCUGUGAUUUACUGAGUUUUGGUCUUUUUGACUUGCAAAUAUAGGUUAACUGAUUGCCACAGUGGGUUAUUUUUAAUAAAUACUUGUAAUUAAAAAAAAAAAAAAUGAUUUGUCUUCUCACAUAUUUGGCAUCUAUUUUAGGUGGUGCAAAACUUGCUUAACUGUCUUGAUAGUCCUGAACUCCCUUUGCUUCAAUGGCAAGAGUGCAUGGCUGUUUUGUCAACCCGCCUUCCCAAAGAUCUUAAAAAUGAGGUGAAUAUCUAACUUAGUAUUUGAACCCUUAUUUUUGCUCAAGUAGUGGCUUUAGGCUCCUAUGUUCAUCUAAUUCGUUGACCUGUUCAAUUUUAUCAGUUGGAAUCAAAAUGUAAGGAGUUCGAGAGAAUUUCAAGUUCCCAGAAUGUUGACUUCCCUGCCAAACUGCUGAGAGGUGUUCUUGAGGUGAGUUAUUUGUCUGUCAUUCUUCAUUUUCUAAACCAUCUGUCUAGAGCUUUAAUACAGUCAGGGUAUGUGCUUUUGCUGCAGGCACAUCUGUUGUCCUGUGCUGACAAAGAAAGAGGAUCCCAAGAAAGGCUUAUUGAGCCUUUGAUGAGUCUUGUUAAGUCUUAUGAGGGUGGAAGAGAGAGUCAUGCCCGUGUAAUUGUUCAGUCUCUUUUCGAAGAGUAUCUGUCAGUCGAAGAAUUAUUCAGUGAUCAGAUCCAGGUAAUUUUAUUUCUACCAAUUGCAAGUUGGUAAGUGAUGUUUUCAUGUGAAUGAGAUACCUUGUCUUGAUUAUUUGGGAUUGCCAACACCCCUUUUGUUGAUUCCCUGACAGAAUCAGGAUUUCUGUUAAAGUAUGAUGGAUAUAUUAGAUUGCCCAAAACCUAAAAAGAUAAUUAUUUACUCGAAUUGUAUUACAGUUGGAUGGAAAUAGUCAUGUUGUAUAUGCUGAGGAAGAGGCAGCAGGAACUCGCCUUCUCAUUGAUGGAAGAACUUGCUUGCUUCAGGUGCCGCCAAUUCUUUUUCUUACUUUUUAUUCUAUGUUCUAUUACUUUUGUUAGGUAAAUUGGUUAGUUAUCUUUGUUGUAUCCAGAAUGAUCAUGAUCCAUCAAAGUUAGUUGCGGAGACACCAUGCAAGCUGCUGAGAUAUUUGGUUUCAGAUGGAAGUCAUAUUGAUGCUGACACUCCUUAUGCAGAAGUUGAGGUCAUGAAAAUGUGUAUGCCUCUUCUUUCACCUGCUUCUGGAGUUCUUCAAUUUAAGAUGGCUGAAGGUCAAGCAAUGCAGGUAAAUCAUUUUCCUUAUUUAAAAGUAUGAAUUUUCUAUAUCCAAUGGAAAUUAAGAAUUCAUUCCUGUGUAGGCUGGUGAGCUCAUAGCAAGGCUUGACCUAGAUGAUCCUUCAGCUGUAAGAAAAGCUGAACCUUUCUAUGGGAGUUUCCCAAUCCUGGGACCUCCAACAGCAAUUUCUGGUAAAGUUCAUCAGAGAUGUGCUGCAAGUUUAAAUGCAGCCCGCAUGAUUCUUGCUGGUUAUGAGCACAACAUAGAAGAAGUAAGCAUUUUCUUGCCUAUGUUAAUCUUAAUUGGAGAAUUUAAAGAUACUACAGUAAUUCUGUUGUGUCUGUGAUUUACUGAGUUUUGGUCUUUUUGACUUGCAAAUAUAGGUUAACUGAUUGCC